GAUGAACGCUGGCGGCGUGCCUAAUACAUGCAAGUCGAGCGAACAGACGAGGAGCUUGCUCCUCUGACGUUAGCGGCGGACGGGUGAGUAACACGUGGAUAACCUACCUAUAAGACUGGGAUAACUUCGGGAAACCGGAGCUAAUACCGGAUAAUAUAUUGAACCGCAUGGUUCAAUAGUGAAAGACGGUUUUGCUGUCACUUAUAGAUGGAUCCGCGCCGCAUUAGCUAGUUGGUAAGGUAACGGCUUACCAAGGCAACGAUGCGUAGCCGACCUGAGAGGGGGGAAGGCCCCAAAGGAACUGAGGCACCGGACAGAAUCCGAAGGGGGGAAGAAGGAGGGAAUCUUACCAAAUGGGGGAAAGCCCGAAGGAACAACGGCGCGGGGGUGGUGAAAGGUUUUCGAUAGUAAAACUCUUUUUGUAGGGAAAAAAAAAAGUGUAAGGAAAUAUGGCCGGUUUGAAGGGAACUUAUAAAAAAGGCAAGGGCAACGUAGUG
rnacentral:rRNA from 1 species